rnacentral:rRNA from 1 species
UACGGAGGGUGCAAGCGUUUAUCCGGAUUUACUGGGUUUAAAGGGUGCGUAGGUGGGUCUGUAAGUCAGUGGUGAAAUCUCCGAGCUUAACUCGGAAACUGCCAUUGAUACUAUAGGUCUUGAAUUAUCUGGAGGUGAGCGGAAUAUGUCAUGUAGCGGUGAAAUGCUUAGAUAUGACAUAGAACACCAAUUGCGAAGGCAGCUCACUACGGAUAUAUUGACACUGAGGCACGAAAGCGUGGGGGAUCAAACAGG